GACGAACCGUGCGAACGUUAUUCGGAAUCACUGGGCUUAAAGCGCGUGUAGGCGGAUGGGAACGUCGGUCGUUGAAAGCCCCCGGCUCAACCGGGGAAUGGGCGCCGAAACGACCCGUCUGGAGGGACGUAGGGGGACCUGGAACUUCCGGUGGAGCGGUGAAAUGCGUUGAGAUCGGAAGGAACGCCCGUGGCGAAAGCGAGGUCCUGGACGUCUACUGACGCUGAGACGCGAAAGCUAGGGGAGCGAACGGG
rnacentral:rRNA from 1 species